UUAAACUGCGGAGCGGGGGCGGGGAGAUUAGGUAGGGGGCGAGGGUGAAUCUGAAGUACUGGGCGUAAAGUGUGCGCAGGCGGCCAUGCAAGUCGAGUGGGAAAGCCCCGGGCUUAACUGGGGAAUUGCGCUCGAAACUACGUGGCUGGAGUGUGGCAGAGGAAGGUGGAAUUCCACGUGUAGCGGUGAAAUGCGUAGAGAUGUGGAGGAACACCAAUGGCGAAGGCAGCCUUCUGGGCCAACACUGACGCUCAUGCACGAAAGCGUGGGGAGCAAACAGGAUUAGAUACUCGUGUAGUC
rnacentral:rRNA from 1 species